UGGCUUUCUUCUCAGCCAGUUCAAGUUUCUCCUGGGCGUCUUUAAGCGCCUCGGAGUACUUGUCCAGCUCAUCCUCCGUCCCCUUCAGCUUCUUUUGCAGCGCCACCAGGUCGUCCUCAAGCUGAUGUGUGUGUGUGUGUGUGUGUUUGUGUUUGUGCACAGGUGGAAGACACAUAUAUGGACACACACAGAGGACAGGACAGGACAGGACAGGAGAGAAGAGAAGAGAAAGUUAACGGCGGCGACACAGACAAGCAGGUUAUGAACGUCAAGAAAGCAAAUCACACCCGCGUGCUCCGAGUCUGACCUGCUUGCUUCGGUCCUCCGCUGCCUUCUUGUCCGACUCGGCCUGCUCCGCCCGGUCCAAGGCGUUCUCCUUGUCCAGCUUCAGCAUCUGCAUCUUCUUCUUGAUGGCGUCCAUGGCUGCUUACCGACCUCAGCGUUUCCCCUCCCCGAAAAAAGACAAAGCAGGCGAGAGCGUU